rnacentral:lncRNA from 1 species
CAUAUUACAUCAAUAGUGAAAAAUGCAUUCUUUUUCUGACAAGCACAUUCCUUCACAACCGGGAGUCAGUGAAGUUCACUGAGAGCUAACUGGUGAAUCUGGACUUCUCUGAGCACAUCUGUGUGCUCCCUAACAGGCUCUGACUCUAGAAACUGCAGCAGCAUGUGUUAGGACUGGCCUUCGGCUUUACCACAGCCAGCAAUUCUGCUAUAAACUAGUUGUCUUCUCUGACCAAGAUGUUAAUUUCUGCAUUACUCAUCUUCCAGGCUUGCUAAGAAGAUAAGAGAAGUGAAAUUACUUAGCUUUGAUUAGGGAUUGUGGUUUUUUUUCUGUCACUCUGACCACACUCUACUAGAUUCUGACGACAGUUUUGCAUCAGGUUUUGGGGGAAAAAAAAAGAGAGAGAGGAAUUCACUCUCAGGGAUCUGUUAACCUCUAGAGUACUAGCCCUGCCCACACCGAGUAGGGAGGUCCUGCUUUUUUAACUUCUCCGUUGCUAAAUCUGUGACUCUUUGAGUGAAACCUAAGGAACUAUACCUGAAGAAGAAAAGAAAGACAUUUUUAAGAAGCAGUUUAAAAUUUCUCUUGCUGAUAAUGUGCUUUUUUUCCUCUUAGAAAAAAAGAGGGCUUCUUAGAAUCCACGAAGUAUAAGAAGCUUGCCUUUUUUUUUUUUUUUUUUUUUUUUUAGUUUCACUUUCACGAUUGCAGCAGGAAAUCUAACAUGCUUCCCUGGUGAAAACGACUGAAUUUGGACUAAUGAAAAAAAGGAACAGUCAGCUGUUAUCAGAGUACAUGAAGUUACAGAGCCCUGUGAUCUUGAAUGAGCUUUCUCCUUUUCUGAGUCUUGUUGGCUGGAGAAGAGACAGGAGCUGGCACUUUAUGAUAAUACGCUUGCAAAGGAGAACACACUUCAGGUGGUCCUUAGCAAUACGAAAGUGGCUUUCUUUGACCUCGUAAAAGGAAAGUGGCAGAAGGUGAGAAAGGAGAAAGGCGUUUCGGUGGAUAGGUAGG